rnacentral:rRNA from 1 species
GAUGAACGCUGGCGGCGUGCCUAAUACAUGCAAGUCGAGCGAACGGACGAGAAGCUUGCUUUUCUGAUGUUAGCGGCGGACGGGUGAGUAACACGUGGAUAACCUACCUAUAAGACUGGGAUAACUUCGGGAAACCGGAGCUAAUACCGGAUAAUAUUUUGAACCGCAUGGUUCAAAAGUGAAAGACGGUCUUGCUGUCACUUAUAGAUGGAUCCGCGCUGCAUUAGCUAGUUGGUAAGGUAACGGCUUACCAAGGCAACGAUGCAUAGCCGACCUGAGAGGGUGAUCGGCCACACUGGAACUGAGACACGGUCCAGACUCCUACGGGAGGCAGCAGUAGGGAAUCUUCCGCAAUGGGCGAAAGCCUGACGGAGCAACGCCGCGUGAGUGAUGAAGGUCUUCGGAUCGUAAAACUCUGUUAUUAGGGAAGAACAUAUGUGUAAGUAACUGUGCACAUCUUGACGGUACCUAAUCAGAAAGCCACGGCUAACUACGUGCCAGCAGCCGCGGUAAUACGUAGGUGGCAAGCGUUAUCCGGAAUUAUUGGGCGUAAAGCGCGCGUAGGCGGUUUUUUAAGUCUGAUGUGAAAGCCCACGGCUCAACCGUGGAGGGUCAUUGGAAACUGGAAAACUUGAGUGCGGAAGAGGAAAGUGGAAUUCCAUGUGUAGCGGUGAAAUGCGCAGAGAUGUGGAGGAACACCAGUGGCGAAGGCGACUUUCUGGUCUGUAACUGACGCUGAUGUGCGAAAGCGUGGGGAUCAAACAGGAUUAGAUACCCUGGUAGUCCACGCCGUAAACGAUGAGUGCUAAGUGUUAGGGGGUUUCCGCCCCUUAGUGCUGCAGCUAACGCAUUAAGCACUCCGCCUGGGGAGUACGACCGCAAGGUUGAAACUCAAAGGAAUUGACGGGGGCCCGCACAAGCGGUGGAGCAUGUGGUUUAAUUCGAAGCAACGCGAAGAACCUUACCAAAUCUUGACAUCCUUUGACAACUCUAGAGAUAGAGCCUUCCCCUUCGGGGGACAAAGUGACAGGUGGUGCAUGGUUGUCGUCAGCUCGUGUCGUGAGAUGUUGGGUUAAGUCCCGCAACGAGCGCAACCCUUAAGCUUAGUUGCCAUCAUUAAGUUGGGCACUCUAAGUUGACUGCCGGUGACAAACCGGAGGAAGGUGGGGAUGACGUCAAAUCAUCAUGCCCCUUAUGAUUUGGGCUACACACGUGCUACAAUGGACAAUACAAAGGGCAGCGAAACCGCGAGGUCAAGCAAAUCCCAUAAAGUUGUUCUCAGUUCGGAUUGUAGUCUGCAACUCGACUACAUGAAGCUGGAAUCGCUAGUAAUCGUAGAUCAGCAUGCUACGGUGAAUACGUUCCCGGGUCU